rnacentral:rRNA from 1 species
CCUACGGGGGGCAGCAGUGGGGAAUAUUGGACAAUGGGCGAAAGCCUGAUCCAGCCAUGCCGCGUGUGUGAAGAAGGCCUUCGGGUUGUAAAGCACUUUCAGUGGGGAAGAAAGCCUUGGGGCUAAUACCCUCGAGGAAGGACAUCACCCACAGAAGAAGCACCGGCUAACUCCGUGCCAGCAGCCGCGGUAAUACGGAGGGUGCGAGCGUUAAUCGGAAUUACUGGGCGUAAAGCGCGCGUAGGCGGUCUGAUAAGCCGGUUGUGAAAGCCCCGGGCUCAACCUGGGAACGGCAUCCGGAACUGUCAGGCUAGAGUGCAGGAGAGGAAGGUAGAAUUCCCGGUGUAGCGGUGAAAUGCGUAGAGAUCGGGAGGAAUACCAGUGGCGAAGGCGGCCUUCUGGACUGACACUGACGCUGAGGUGCGAAAGCGUGGGUAGCAAACAGGAUUAGAUACCCCCGUAGUC